UGAGGAAUAUUGCGCAAUGGGGGAAACCCUGACGCAGCAACGCCGCGUGAGUGAGGAAGGUUUUCGGACCGUAAAGCUCUGUCGAGCGGGAAGAAAUGCAUGGUGGCUAAUAUCCAUCAUGCUUGACGGUACCGCUAAAGGAAGCACCGGCUAACUCCGUGCCAGCAGCCGCGGUAAGACGUAGGGGGCGAGCGUUGUUCGGAAUUACUGGGCGUAAAGAGCUCGUAGGCUGGAAAUUAAGUCUUUGAAUAAAUCUCCCGGCUUAACCGGGAACAAUUUAGAGAUACUGAUUUUCUUGAGAACAGGAGAGGGGAAUGGAAUUCCUAGUGUAGCGGUGAAAUGCGUAGAUAUUAGGAGGAACACCAGUGGCGAAGGCGACUUUCUGGCCCUAUACUGACGCUGAGACGCGAAAGCGUGGGUAGCAAACA
rnacentral:rRNA from 1 species